CCUACGGGAGGCAGCAGUGAGGAAUAUUCCACAAUGGGGGAAACCCUGAUGGAGCGAUGCCGCGUGCAGGAAGACGCUUUUCGGAGUGUAAACUGCUUUUAACAAGGAAGAUUAUGACGGUACUUGUAGAAUAAGGACCGGCUAACUACGUGCCAGCAGCCGCGGUAAUACGUAGGGUCCAAGCGUUAUUCGGAAUUACUGGGCGUAAAGCGUUCGUAGGCGGUUUGAUAAGUUGGAUGUGAAAUCCUGUGGCUCAACCACAUGGACUGUGUCCAAAACUAUCUGACUAGAGCAUAGUAGAGGCAAGUGGAAUUUGCGGUGUAGGAGUGACAUCCGUAGAUAUCGCAAGGAACACCAAUGGCGAAGGCAGCUUGCUGGGCUAUUGCUGACGCUCAGGAACGAAAGCGUGGGGAGCGAACGGGAUUAGAUACCCCGGUAGUCCACGCCGUAAACGAUGAUCACUAGCAGUAUGGAGAUUCGACCCUCUGUGUUGUCACACGCUACGUACGUUAAGUAGAGUCCGCCGUCGGGGAGGUACGGGCGGCGAGUAACGUUAAACGUUAACUUAAAGUUAGUAAGUUAGUUACGGCGUUGAGACGUGCCGACGGACGACGACGAGGGAGGAGG
rnacentral:rRNA from 1 species